rnacentral:piRNA from 1 species
AAGGACAUGUCCCUGAAUGAGAC